UACGUAGGGUGCGAGCGUUGUCCGGAAUUAUUGGGCGUAAAGAGCUCGUAGGCGGUGUGUCGCGUCGGUCGUGAAAACUUGGGGCUUAACCCUGAGCUUGCGGUCGAUACGGGGCAUCACUGGAGUUCGGCAGGGGAGACUGGAAUUCCUGGUGUAGCGGUGAAAUGCGCAGAUAUCAGGAGGAACACCGGUGGCGAAGGCGGGGUCUC
rnacentral:rRNA from 1 species